GUAGAAUUGUAUUUGAUUUAAAUAAUUUAAUGUUAUCUAUUCAAAACUUUUUCAAGUGUAAUUGUACAUGUAUACAGUUGUUUAUUUUUCUGUCUUUUUGAUGUCAAGUAUGCAUCGAGGAAUCCUUACCAGUCUCAUCUGCUUCUGCUGCACACGCAUGAGAAAUGAGAAGCUCAAAUAAUUAUAGCAUUUGCAUCACAGACC
rnacentral:lncRNA from 1 species